UACGGGGGGGGCAAGCGUUGUUCGGAAUUACUGGGCGUAAAGGGCGCGUAGGCGGCCUGCUAAGUCGGACGUGAAAUCCCUCGGCUCAACCGGGGGAACUGCGUCCGAUACUGGCGAGGCUUGAAUCCGGGAGAGGGAUGUGGAAUUCCAGGUGUAGCGGUGAAAUGCGUAGAUAUCGGGAGGAACACCAGUGGCGAAGGCGGCGCCUGGGCCAUAUUGACGCUG
rnacentral:rRNA from 1 species